ACACACACUGCAUACACCAAUACAACACACAGACACUGCAUACACUAAUACAACACACACACACUGCAUACACUAAUACAACACACACACUGCAUACACUAAUACAACACACACACACUGCAUACACUAAUACAACACACACUGCAUACACCAAUACAACACACAGACACUGCAUACACUAAUACAACACAGACACUGCAUACACUAAUACAACACACACACACUGCAUACACUAAUACAAUACAACACACAGACACUGCAUACACUAAUACAACACACACACACUGCAUACACUAAUACAACACACACACUGCAUACA